UAGAUACUUCCUCCGUCCGGAAUUACUUGUCGCUCAAAUGGAUGUAUCUAGACGUAUUUUAGUGCUAGAUACAUCUGUUUGGGCGACAAGUAAUUCCAGGCACAGGGAGUACAAC
rnacentral:pre_miRNA from 1 species